CCGUGUCCCUCCCGUGUCUGUCCGCGUCCCUCCCGCGUCCCUGCCGUGUCCCUCCCGUGUCCUGUCGCUGAUGGCGCAGGGACACAUGGACAGCGAUGCGAGGAUUGCUCUCAAACUACAGCGAGACGUGUGUUUUUUCGGCACGUUGAGGAUAAUGGAGUCCUACCUCGACAGGCUGUUUACUGGGAGUUCACACGGCGGCUUUGGGGGCUCCAGGAAUAGCAUGGCAGGCUACGCAUUUCAGAUUCGCUUGUUAUCUCGGAUUUAGAUAAUGAUCCACCUUUAGAUGAACUUAAUCCUGAAGGCAGCGGGACAGGCUCCGGUGCGGAGAGUCGGUAGUCGGUGUUUAACGGGGGAAGUCGCCUCUGCUGUGCUGUUCUCCCGCUGUUUACUUGGACGCUUCAUAAACACUCCUUUUCUUUUCCUCCUGCCACAUUUGAGAGCUCAUGAAUUGAUGUCGGUGUGUGGUCCGAUGCUGUCCAGAGAGGAUCUUUCCCUGUGGUCACUUUGUCUGCAGUAUAAUGCCCCUCCACAUUCACACCACUUGAAAGAUGGGAUAAAGGGAUGAAAAUAUAGUGUGCAAGGUGCAAAAGCUCUCAACUCCACACAUCAAAGCGCCGUGUUGCACCUGCG
ensembl:lncRNA